GCUUUGACUCCAUUUAGGGUUCAUUAAUGCCUCAUAGAUAAAUAUAAAAAUGUGAUGUGAUAUUAUCAUCUAACAUUUACAUUAGCUUGUUUUAUUCAUGUAUACUUUUCAAGGCCGAGAGGAUGGCGAGUUUAGUGUGUAGUCUGAAGCUGUCAGGCCGAGGGGUUGGUGUGUAGACUGAUAGCAUUCAGUAGGUGGGCUAUACCUGAAGUAAAAGAUUCAUAUAGUGUUAGCUGGGGAGAGGGUUUAAUCAUUGAUCUCAUGUAUCCAUGGUGAUAUAUAUAUUUACAUGUAGAUGUACCGUAAAACUCAUUUAGUACGUUUUUUGAGUCCCCAGUAAAAAAAUUUUACUAAAUUUUUGCAAAAUUUUACUGUUAUAACGAAUUCAGAUAUAACAAAUUUACAGAUAUAGUGAACUGAUUAUGAGUCCCGGGGAGGUGAAAUUUAACAAUGUUUAGUGAUUUUCAUUACAAUUUAAAACGGCUUGCACUACCGAUACCAUUUAACAUAAUAGUUUGAAUGAAUUUAUUUUCAUAUAAAUUUUUUCGACUCGCAAUCUGAUUAUUAAAGGUAUCAAAAAAAUAUAUUUAUAUUCUAAGUCUCAAUUAGAAAAUAUUAUAGUCUAGUGAAAGAAAAUAUGUAUAUAGUGAAUUCGCUAUAGUUAUUAUUACGAAUUUGUUAUAUGAAUAUAACAAAUUAUGGAUAUAACAAAGUAAAUCCAUUGGUCCCGAGGACGUUGCUAUAAACGAGUUUUACUGUAUAUAAGUUACAAAGAGUACCACCCAUCACAUCUAAAAUUAUAUGCCCUUGGGGAGAAUAUCAGCAUAUUAAGUAACCAAGCCAACCUUGUUGAAAUCAUCAUAGAAAUCUAUGAGUGAGCUUUUGUUUCAUCCAAGGUAGUAGAAAUAUUUCAUUCAGAAUAAUUUUCCAGUUUAAGUUUAAUUAGAUAUGAGCGUCUGUUGAAUUUGCUGUUUUCUUUCAUUUGUUACAGAUGUUUUGUGGUUUUCUUUAGAAAUAUAUUCUUUGCUUGACUAAAUGUGUUUUAAUAAUAGAUUUAUGAAGACUAUUAUUUUUAUUGUUCUCUAUAUGUAUAUUAGAAUUGCUUUGUAUGUUAAAAUAACAAAAUUUUCCUUCCAUAUGUUUAUUUUUUUUUCAAGUUGAAAAAAAUUGAAAACUUACUUCUAUCAUAAAAAUCUUUUUAUUUUAAGACCCUCAUUGACAUGCUAACUUUGUAAAAGAAAUUUAAUAUUUUGUAAGAAUUAUCUUCUUUGAGAAAUUAUGAAAGUGGAUCCAUUGUAUAGCAUGGUUCAUAGGGAUCCAAGCAAACCGUGCAUUCACAUAUUUUUCUAUGUUUUGAGGGUUUUUUUUUUCACUUUCAGUGUAUGACAGAUAUCAUUGGGUGCAGAGUUUAGUUUGAUGUGCGCCUCAAUUUGUCGUUGUAUGUUUAUAAAUGUACACUUAACCUCAUUAAAAGAGUUCGUUAUAAAUAC
rnacentral:sRNA from 1 species